rnacentral:pre_miRNA from 1 species
UCCCAGGCUGGGCUGGACAGCCCCCAGGCUGGGCUGGGCGAGUAUCUCUUUGAAAGGCUCACCCUCAAGCACCACUCGAAGC